AGUGAACGCUGGCGGUAGGCCUAACACAUGCAAGUCGAACGGCAGCACAGUAAGAGCUUGCUCUUACGGGUGGCGAGUGGCGGACGGGUGAGGAAUACAUCGGAAUCUACUUUUUCGUGGGGGAUAACGUAGGGAAACUUACGCUAAUACCGCGUACGACCUACGGGUGAAAGCAGGGGAUCUUCGGACCUUGCGCGAUUGAAUGAGCCGAUGUCGGAUUAGCUAGUUGGCGGGGUAAAGGCCCACCAAGGCGACGAUCCGUAGCUGGUCUGAGAGGAUGAUCAGCCACACUGGAACUGAGACACGGUCCAGACUCCUACGGGAGGCAGCAGUGGGGAAUAUUGGACAAUGGGCGCAGGCCUGAUCCAGCCAUACCGCGUGGGUGAAGAAGGCCUUCGGGUUGUAAAGCCCUUUUGUUGGGAAAGAAAAGCAGCAGGUUAAUACCCCGCUGUUCUGACGGUACCCAAAGAAUAAGCACCGGCUAACUUCGUG
rnacentral:rRNA from 1 species